rnacentral:rRNA from 1 species
GAUGAACGCUGGCGGCGUGCCUAACACAUGCAAGUCGAACGGAGUCCAGCCUUUAAGACCUUCGGGUCAAAGAGAGGAAGACUGAGUGGCGGACGGGUGAGUAACACGUGGGCAACCUGGCUCAUAGAGGGGGAUAACAGAGAGAAAUUUCUGCUAAUACCGCAUAAGCACACACUGCCGCAUGGCAGAGGGUGAAAAGAGAAUCGCUAUGAGAUGGACCCGCGUCUGAUUAGCCAGUUGGCAGGGUAAGAGCCUACCAAAGCGACGAUCAGUAGCCGAUCUGAGAGGAUGAACGGCCACAUUGGGACUGAGACACGGCCCAAACUCCUACGGGAGGCAGCAGUGGGGGAUAUUGCACAAUGGGGGGAACCCUGAUGCAGCGACGCCGCGUGAGUGAAGAAGUAUUUCGGUAUGUAAAGCUCUAUCAGCAGGGAAGAUAAUGACAGUACCUGAAUAAGAAGCCCCGGCUAACUACGUG